rnacentral:ncRNA from 2 species
GAGGAAACCGGUGUGAAUCCGGUGCGGUCCCGCCACUGUGAUCGGCGAGCCGAUCCCGAAUACGCCACUGCCCGACACGGGUGGGAAGGCCGGGGGAGGCGCUUGAGCCGUCAGCCAGGAGACUC